GGAGCCAAAUCGCAAUAAGUGGAGCAUUUAAGAGAAAGGACAACCAGCAGAUGAUUGACAAGAGCUGCUGGCACUUCUGACUGUUGUUCUAACGUCUUAAAGUGACGGCUCAACAACAGGUCAUAUCCCAGGAUGAUGCACAGGAAGAAGCCGCUUUCCUGUAACAUAAACAGGAUUAUUUUAAAUCAAAUUUCACAGUUUUCUCAAGCAGAAAAGCGUGCUCAGUGCUUUGAAAGGCAGCUCUGCUUCAAUAGUGAAGGAGAAUGAAAGCGAUAUUGAAAAGAGUAAGAGGGAGAAGUGUACUUUUAUCUCUGCACAGGAAUAUGAUGCGGCCCACUUUGCAAAUUGACUUCGAAGGCCGCAGUUCUGCAGUAUUUUUGCAGCCACCCGCCCCUCACUUUGAGAAAUGUACAGCUGAAGUCCGGUUCUGCAAGGAUGCUUCCUGAUUUACGACGUGGAGGGAUGGGUUCCUAUCUGGGACUCCAGCCACUGCCGGACAGGAGAUUUACGGGUACAAUGACACCACUGAUUACUUUCGGACGCUGAGGAGAAAUGGACACAGUUUGUUUUUCACCCCUUUCCAUCUUUAAGACCUGGACUGAGUAUGGGCCUAGAUUUGAGUCUCUGUCCCAAUGCAGCGGCUCCGGGAUUCGCUUGUGGACACACACAGGCUAACUUGGACGAGCCCAAGUCGAUAAAUAACAUAUGCAGACUGAUGGGAAACCCAUACUGUAUCUCCAUCGACGAGAAAUGCAGAGACAUUGUCAUGACCCCAGAAACCACACUUGCUCUAGGAGCCGUUCGACUCCAUCUCUCUCGUUUUGACAAAUUUGUGAGUCUUCCUUUGCGUUCUGAGGAGGCCAAACCGUGGACAUUCGGAGUUCAGCCAAACCCGAUACAGUCUGAAAACAAAUGCUAGAGUUCGACUGACCUCACGCUGGACUAAAUGGCUUGAUAGCUUUGUAAAUAUGGCUUCCGGCAAAUGAAUUCCCUUCUUUUUCAUUUACCAACAGCAAGAGCACCAAAUCCAUUAAGAAAGAAAAACGCAAAAUGAAAGACAACGCUGCCUAACACUCUAACUCAGUCAAUAAAUCAGACAGAAACAAUAAGUGGAAACCAUAAAUGUGGACUGGAUUGAAGUCAUUUUUCUUCACGUGGAAAUUCUCAAGACAUUUUCAAUUUCAUGCACGGCACAGAAACCAUACAAAAGACAUUUGUGUAAUAUAAGCAGCGAGGAACUCUUUUUGAUGAUUGCGACAGGUCUGCGUUCCACCCAGCCCUAUGCAAACAAUGUGCCUGCCUGUCUGUCUGCUUGCCAUGCGUCCUCAAAGGGACGUGAAGUGUCUCAUAUACAUUUGACACAAAGAGCGGGUUAUGUGACAUAAACCAGAUGGACUCUUCAGUAGGACCCGACAUUGUGGUUUCUCCAAGACCGCAGGCUUGCUUGAUCGCUCCACCCAGGGCCUGCUUGCUGGCAACUCACUUUCAUUCGUCUUCUCACAAGUUUGGGUGAAAAGCUUUUGGGAAGCUUUGUAAGAUUGAUGACCCAUGGCCAAUUACUGGCUUAGCCCUUGAGUCUCACAAAGAAAGCAUGAGCUCGGACGUAAACACAUAGGACAAAGACGUAGAGGCUGGGAAUACCUGUGGCUCCACAAUAUCCUGAUCCUGGUAUUUCUGGAUGGUGCCAUCCCGAGUGAAGAAAGGAGGGGCCGGCGCAUCUGACGCCCCGUGGUUGACGAGCACCAGGGCGCCAGGCGAAAGCUUGUUAGACAAACUCUGACAACAAGACGCUGCCCUUGAAAAUCAAUUAUAAACACAGGAGCUUCCCUGCAUCUGUUUCUGCUCGCAGUUUUGUGGGGCUGUCUGUCUUGGAUUUUGGUUUUAUCCUCCCUCUCUUUGGGCAGCUUCCACGGCGGUUCAAACGGCCAUCCCUGAAGGAUUACUGCGAGUUUUAAACCCACAGGGACAGAGUGUGUAAAUCAUGAAUGGGUGAGCAAGAGUGAUGACAGGUCAUGGCACCCGCUGCUUAUUGGGAUGAGCAGUUUAUGGGAACAGUUGGGGUGUUUUUCAUUGCAUCUGCUUUGCCCGGCCUCCUGUUUCCAACAAGUAAACAAUCAUAAAAAAUGACUUUGACUGGUUAAAAAGGGGUGCAGACAAGUUUGCACAGAGAAGUUAUGGGUUCCCAAUCAUUAAGGGUCCUCUAAUGACAUUACCUGGGGUUCGUGUUACUCACAAUUGUUUUAGCAUGCCACCAUUCCGUUGCACCAACUCAUACCAAGUCCCGUGCUGAUUAACAGAAAAGUGAGUUUAGUUCAAAGCUACAUAAUUAAAAUUUUAAAGUAACCAGGGAGGGUCUACCUAAUUUCUAUCUACAGUAAUUGUUCACAAAUCUUUUACAUUUAGUCAUUUAGCAGACGCUUUUAUCCAAAUCUGCAGGACCGGGCAGUUUUAGCAGUGUGGUCUGAGAAAGUCAGCUUAUCAUCAAUCAUAACUCCAAGGUUUCUGGCUGUUUUUGAAGAAGUUAUGGUUGAUGUGCCUAACUGGAUGGUGAACUUGUGAUGAUACAGUACGGUGGGUUUGCUGGAACCACAAGAAAGAACCACCCUUUUAAACCCAUAUGGCUAUUUUUGAGUCGAUGAAGGACAAAAGGAAGAAUUUGUGUUAAUUCAAAUAUGAUGCUUUAAGACAUGUCUGGCAUCAAUGACAUCAAAUGUUUUCUUGUGCCUCACCUUAUGUGACACAUCUUGAUAGACUAUAUGUGACCCUGGACCACAAAACCAGUCAUAAGGGUAAUUUUUUUUAAAUUGAGAUGUAUAUAUCAUCUGAAUGCUGAAUA